rnacentral:rRNA from 1 species
AGCGAACGCUGGCGGCAGGCCUAACACAUGCAAGUCGAACGAACCCUUCGGGGUUAGUGGCGGACGGGUGAGUAACACGUGGGAACGUGCCCUUUGGUUCGGAACAACUCAGGGAAACUUGAGCUAAUACCGAAUGUGCCCUUCGGGGGAAAGAUUUAUUGCCAUUGGAGCGGCCCGCGUCUGAUUAGCUUGUUGGUGAGGUAAAGGCUCACCAAGGCUACGAUCAGUAGCUGGUCUGAGAGGAUGAUCAGCCACAUUGGGACUGAGACACGGCCCAAACUCCUACGGGAGGCAGCAGUGGGGAAUCUUGCGCAAUGGGCGAAAGCCUGACGCAGCCAUGCCGCGUGAAUGAUGAAGGUCUAGGAUUGUAAAAUUCUUUCACCGGGGACGAUAAUGACGGUACCCGGAGAAGAAGCCCCGGCUAACUUCGUGCCAGCCGCCGCCGUAACAC